AUGCCCAAGCGGACCAUGGGAGGGAGGGCCGACGCCGGGGCCGACGCCAUGGUGUCACCUACGCCAGAGCAGGUGGCUCCUCCACCGGAGCAGGUGACUCCUCUGCCACGCCGUCUGCCUCCUCUGCCAUGCCAUUUUCCUCCUCUGCCGCAGCCCGUGGUCAACAUCGACGGUGACGACGAUGAAGAAGAGGUAACUGCUCUGGCUCCUCAGACGAAGCAGGUGUCUCCUCUGCCGCGGGUGACGCCUCCUGUGCCCGAGCCUGUGGUCGUCGGCGAUGUCAACAAAGAAGAUCGUCAGCCGGGUGUUCGUCUGCCACGGUUGUUGCCUCCCCUGCCCCCACCUGUGGUCGUCGCACGAGAACAAAGAAGAGGUUUUCCCUGGUCAGUACAAGGCAAAUAA
rnacentral:rRNA from 1 species